GAUACUAAUAGCUCGAUUGAUUUACUUUGCUGUGA
rnacentral:rRNA from 1 species